UACGUAGGGUGCAAGCGUUAAUCGGAAUUACUGGGCGUAAAGCGUGCGCAGGCGGUUGUGUAAGACAGAUGUGAAAUCCCCGGGCUCAACCUGGGAACUGCAUUUGUGACUGCACGGCUGGAGUGCGGCAGAGGGGGAUGGAAUUCCGCGUGUAGCAGUGAAAAUGCGUAGAUAUGCGGAGGAACACCGAUGGCGAAGGCAAUCCCCUGGGCCUGCACUGACGCUCAUGCACGAAAGCGUGGGGAGCAAACAGG
rnacentral:rRNA from 1 species